AUUGAACGCUGGCGGCAGGCCUAACACAUGCAAGUCGAGCGGCAGCGGGAAAGUAGCUUGCUACUUUUGCCGGCGAGCGGCGGACGGGUGAGUAAUGCCUGGGGAUCUGCCCAGUCGAGGGGGAUAACUACUGGAAACGGUAGCUAAUACCGCAUACGCCCUACGGGGGAAAGCAGGGGACCUUCGGGCCUUGCGCGAUUGGAUGAACCCAGGUGGGAUUAGCUAGUUGGUGAGGUAAUGGCUCACCAAGGGGACGAUCCCUAGCUGGUCUGAGAGGAGGAUCAGACACACUGGAACGGAGACACGGUCCAGACUCCUACGGGAGGCAGCAGUGGGGAAUAGUGCACAAUGGGGGAAACCCUGAUGCAGCCAUGCCGCGUGUGUGAAGAAGGCCUUCGGGUUGUAAAGCACUUUCAGCGAGGAGGAAAGGUUGGUAGCUAAUAACUGCCAGCUGUGACGUUACUCGCAGAAGAAGCACCGGCUAACUCCGUGCCAGCCGCCGCCGUAAGAC
rnacentral:rRNA from 1 species